AUACUAACACUGUCUCUACUAAAAUUGGAAUGAUACAGAGAAGAUUAGCAUGGCCCCUGUGCAAGGAUGACACAAAUUUGUGAAGCAUUCCAUAUUUUU
rnacentral:snRNA from 1 species